UCUCCAAAUAUUCGGCCAAGCAAGGAAGAGAGGGAAAGAAAGGAAGAACAAACCCUAGGUGAAGAAUUUCAAGAGAAAAAGUGUGAAAAAUCAAGGAAAACAAGUGAAAAAGGUAGGAUUUUUCAACUUAAGCUUGAAAUCUAUUUUCCUUAAGCAUUUUUCCUUAUUUUUCAUGCUUAAAUUACAUGUUUUCAUGAUGAAUUCAUGGCUGGUCAAAAUGGGUAAGGAGAGAGAAAGAUGUUGGAUUGAUUUGAUUUUAAGAUAUGUUAGUGUUUUUAGUUAGUUUAGCAUAUUUAGAAGCAAAACAACAAGAAAGAAAUCUAUUUUCCCCAUGAAUCUUCAUUGGUCGAAUCUUCCUUGAUGUGUGUGGGUGAUGGAUUGUUAUUAUGUCAAGAGAAAUGGCUUAGAAAAUGAUGAAUAAUGGUAAGAAAAUUAAGUAGGAAAAAUCACGGUGUUAGUGCACUAUAAUGGCCGAAUUUUUCCAUGAAGAAAUGGGAGGGUUUUGAUGCUGAAAUUGGUGUUAUUUGAAUAAUUUUUGGUGAAUUGAGGUACUAGAAAUGAAAUGGAGCAAUUUGGAGCCAAAUCGGACACAAUUGUCAUUUAAUCGGGUAAUAGGUCGAAUUAGGUUAGCACCGCAUUUAAGCAGUAGUCGGAUAAGUUGCAUAUCAUAUCAUGCAUAUACACCGAGUCUGAAUUGAUUUAUAAUGGUCAAACAUUAAUGUGGUGAAUUAUGUAUUGUACAUUGUGGAUAGGUGGUGAGCAAAUUACACUAGUAAAAGUACUGAGAUUGUGCUUGAAGACUGAGAUUAGGAAUACAUUGACUCCCAAAACUGUGAGUAAACUUAUUAUCGUCUUAAUUAUCUAGAGUAGUUUUAUACAAUUGUGUAAUUUUAUAAAAAAUGGGUUUAAAUGGUAAAUUGCUAUGUUUUAGGAGAAAUUGUGAUAUUAUAAAAUGAUUUAUAAAUUUCUAAAAAAUUGAAUACUGAUUUUGAAAAUAGAGUAAUUGGAGACUAUCUGCUUGUGUUAUAAAUUGUGUUUUAAAUUAUAUGGCUUAUAGCAAUAUGUGAGCAUGAAUGGCAAAGUCGGUAUUUGUAUCAAAAUUAUAUAUAUUAUGUAUUCAGCCUUGAGAGGCUAGAUUGCGAUAAAUUGCCAUGUCAUGCAGAUAAAGAUUUUAUAAAUCAGGUGGUAGAUAAAAUAAUCCAUAGUCACUGCAGUAGUGGGGGUUUUCGUGGUCUGCCUAUGAGAGGGGCAGGAUAACCUAAUUAUAUAUUUACCUCCGGGGGGGAGAUGUUGGAUGAAGUAUCUCUUGAGGUAAAGAUUUGAGUGCACUUCAUGUGGACCAUCGCGUGAGAGUGAGACUCAGCCAUUGCCAAGGCAUGGCUAGAAUUUCGGAUGUAAAGACAUUUAACAGCCUUGGUGGUCUCGGUCAGAUGCCUAGGCCAAGGCAUCCCCGGGAAUGAUUUUUGGCAGGAGCCAAGUUUUGUGAGAUAUAUAAGCCAUGUUGAUUACUUGAGUAAACUCAAUAUUCAUGUUAUGAAACAUAUAUUGGAAAGAAUAUUUUAAUUCGUCUCCAUUUACUCGCCUUUAGAUAGUUUAGAUGGUGUCUGUUUCCUCACUGGGAUUAUGUAAUCUCACCCCUCUUCCUAUCCAUUUUUCAAGCUCAGGACAGUUUGUUGAUAGUUGAUUAAGACGAGAAUUAAUCUCGGAGUUGCAUCCUAAAAAGUAAGGGUUCGUAGCCCUACACCUUUUUGGUCAGUUAGGGGCUCAUGUGUC
rnacentral:lncRNA from 1 species